UAAAGCAGAGAUAGCAUUGACCAUCCAUGGACCGUAAAAUUGCCCAGGCAACUGGAUUUUGCUCAUCAGUGGGUUUGUCGUGUCAAUUGCUGUGUGUCCAGCACGAAGUUCUAGUAGGACAACUGUGAAGCUAAACCAUAUCAUCAAACUUUAG